UUAUAGAUCGUGAUACUGCUCCUGUCCCGUCACGUCUACCCCCAGCAGUACACUCUCCACCACCUCCGCCAGUACACUUGUCAUCUCCGCCAUCGCUACCUCAACCGCCGGUUCAUUUACCGCAACCACCAGUACAGUCACCUCCACUCCCAGUUCAUUCUCCACCUCCACCUGUUCACUUACAACCGUCUCCUGAACACUCACCCCCACCUCCGCCACCAGUGUUCUCACCGCCACCCCCAGUUUACUCACCAGUUCCACCGCCAGUUUACUCACCGACACAACCGCCAGUUUACUCACAGGCGCCUCCGCCUGUUAAUUCACCGCCACGACCGACACUUAACUCACCGACACCACCGCCAGUUUACUCAUAUGUUCCACCGCCAGUUUACUCACCGACACUUAACUCACCAACAUUUAAAUCACCGCCACUUAAGUCACCGGCAACAUUGCCAGUUAACUCUCCGACGCCACCGCCGCAUUUUGAAAACUUCAUUCUCCC
rnacentral:lncRNA from 1 species